rnacentral:rRNA from 1 species
CCUACGUGUGGCAGCAGUGGGGGAUAUUGGACAAUGGGGGGAACCCUGAUCCAGCGAUGCCGCGUGAGUGAAGAAGUACCUCGGUAUGUAAAGUUCUUUCAGCAGGGAAGAAGAAAUGAAGGUACCUGAGUAAGAAGCUCCGGCUAACUACGUGCCAGCAGCCGCGGUAACACGUAGGCGGCAAGCGUUAUCCGGAAGUACUGGGCGGAAAGCGAACGUAGGCGGUGAGGUAAGUCUGGAGUGAAAGGCUGGUGCCCAACCCGCGGACUGCACUGGAAACUAUGUGGCUGGAGUGCAGGAGAGGGGGGCAGAAUUCCUGGUGUAGCGGGGAAAUGCGUAGAGAUCAGGAGGAACACCAGUGGCGAAGGCGGCUCCCUGGACUAUGACUGACGUUGAGGCUCGAAAGCGUGGGGAGCAAACAGGAUUAGAUACCCGAGUAGUC